UCUCUGCUUUGUCUACCUUUUGCCGUUGCAAAUGCGCUCACUGCCAGACUUAAUGAUGGAGUUCCUAUGGUUGAUGAGUUCUGGGUUCUUCUCGCUUACACUGCAUACUCAGUAUCACUCUAUCUGCAUUUUGCCACUUCUGUUAUACAUGAAAUCACAUCAGCGCUUGGGAUAUACUGUUUCAGGAUAACAAGGAAAGAAGCUUGAGCCGUUUUGCGCUCUAAUUUUUGGUACACCUUUUUCUCGUUCUUGAUGAACUCGAGGUUAUAUUUUCCUUCGGUUAGUGGAUGAUACAGUAGUGAUCUUCUUGUUUCUAGCUUUCAACCUCGAACUACCUGGGAUUGAAGUUUGACUUUCCUUACCUAGUCGAUUCCUGAACCUGGCUUUUGAAGGAUGUUUGGGGUUCAACGAGUGCCUCUUUGACUUUUCACAGUUUGAGAGCGUUGUUUGAACUCGAUUUCAUGUUUAGUUCAAGUAGUUAAGAUGAAUUUCUUUUUUGAAUUUCCCUUUCGAUUUUAGUUGACUAAGAUGUUUCUCUAGGAUUUUUCGAUUAGUUGACCCCCUAAAGGUGUUAUGCUUUUGACAAUAUUUAUGUUGUUUGCAGAAUUGUUUGUUAUUGUAUUUGAAUUCAUUUAGAUUUGUUGAUACUUGAAAGGAGUAUAUAUUUCUCUUCUCUUCCCCA